CCUACGGGAGGCUGCAGUGGGGAAUAUUGCACAAUGGGCGCAAGCCUGAUGCAGCCAUGCCGCGUGUGUGAAGAAGGCCUUCGGGUUGUAAAGCACUUUCAGCGGGGAGGAAGGCGUUAAGGUUAAUAACCUUGGCGAUUGACGUUACCCGCAGAAGAAGCACCGGCUAACUCCGUGCCAGCAGCCGCGGUAAUACGGAGGGUGCAAGCGUUAAUCGGAAUUACUGGGCGUAAAGCGCACGCAGGCGGCCUGUCAAGUCGGAUGUGAAAUCCCCGGGCUCAACCUGGGAACUGCAUUCGAAACUGGCAGGCUAGAGUCGUGUAGAGGGGGGUAGAAUUCCAGGUGUAGCGGUGAAAUGCGUAGAGAUCUGGAGGAAUACCGGUGGCGAAGGCGGCCCCCUGGACAAAGACUGACGCUCAGGUGCGAAAGCGUGGGGAGCAAACAGGAUUAGAUACCCUUGUAGUC
rnacentral:rRNA from 1 species